UUCAAGGAUUUUUUCAAAUCCACCCUGACUCAAUGAUGCUAUAAUU
rfam:Stentor coeruleus isolate WM001 SteCoe_contig_91, whole genome shotgun sequence.